rnacentral:rRNA from 1 species
CGCGGCCGAAGGUAGGGGUGGUAAUUAGGGUGAAGUCGUAACAAGGUAGCCGUAUCGGAAGGUGCGGCUGGAUCACCUCCUUUCUAAGGAGA